AAAUUGAAGAGUUUGAUCAUGGCUCAGAUUGAACGCUGGCGGCAGGCCUAACACAUGCAAGUCGAGCGGAAACGAGUUAUCUGAACCUUCGGGGAACGAUAACGGCGUCGAGCGGCGGACGGGUGAGUAAUGCCUAGGAAAUUGCCCUGAUGUGGGGGAUAACCAUUGGAAACGAUGGCUAAUACCGCAUGAUGCCUACGGGCCAAAGAGGGGGACCUUCGGGCC
rnacentral:rRNA from 1 species